rnacentral:rRNA from 1 species
GAUGAACGCUGGCGGCGUGCCUAACACAUGCAAGUCGAGCGAACAGACGAGGAGCUUGCUCCUCUGACGUUAGCGGCGGACGGGUGAGUAACACGUGGAUAACCUACCUAUAAGACUGGGAUAACUUCGGGAAACCGGAGCUAAUACCGGAUAAUAUAUUGAACCGCAUGGUUCAAUAGUGAAAGACGGUUUUGCUGUCACUUAUAGAUGGAUCCGCGCCGCAUUAGCUAGUUGGUAAGGUAACGGCUUACCAAGGCAACGAUGCGUAGCCGACCUGAGAGGGUGAUCGGCCACACUGGAACUGAGACACGGUCCAGACUCCUACGGGAGGCAGCAGUAGGGAAUCUUCCGCAAUGGGCGAAAGCCUGACGGAGCAACGCCGUGUGAGUGAUGAAGGUCUUCGGAUCGUAAAACUCUGUUAUUAGGGAAGAACAAAUGUGUAAGUAACUAUGCACGUCUUGACGGUACCUAAUCAGAAAGCCACGGCUAACUACGUG